AGUGAACGCUGGCGGUAGGCCUAACACAUGCAAGUCGAACGGCAGCACAGUAAGAGCUUGCUCUUACGGGUGGCGAGUGGCGGACGGGUGAGGAAUACAUCGGAAUCUACUUUUUCGUGGGGGAUAACGUAGGGAAACUUACGCUAAUACCGCAUACGACCUACGGGUGAAAGCAGGGGAUCUUCGCACCUUGCGCGAUUGAAUGAGCCGAUGUCGGAUUAGCUAGUUGGCAAGGUAAAGGCCCACCAAGGCGACGAUGCGUAGCCGACCUGAGAGGAUGAUCGGCCACACUGGAACUGAGACACGGUCCAGACUCCUACGGGAGGCAGCAGUAGGGAAUCUUCCGCAAUGGGCGAAAGCCUGACGGAGCAACGCCGCGUGAGUGAUGAAGGUCUUCGGAUCGUAAAACUCUGUUAUUAGGGAAGAACAUAUGUGUAAGUAACUGUGCACAUCGUGACGGUACCUAAUCAGAAAGCCACGGCUAACUACGUG
rnacentral:rRNA from 1 species